AUUUUCCGGUUGAUCCUGCCGGAGGUUACUGCUAUCGGUGUUCGCCUAAGCCAUGCGAGUCAUAUGUUCUUCGUGAACAUGGCGUACUGCUCAGUAACACGUGGAUAACCUGCCCUUGGGUCUGGCAUAACCCCGGGAAACUGGGGAUAAUUCCGGAUAACGCAUAUAUGCUGGAAUGCUUUAUGCGUAAAACGGAUUCGUCCGCCCAAGGAUGGGUCUGCGGCCUAUCAGGUAGUAGUGGGUGUAAUGUACCUACUAGCCUACAACGGGUACGGGUUGUGAGAGCAAGAGCCCGGAGAUGGAUUCUGAGACAUGAAUCCAGGCCCUACGGGGCGCAGCAGGCGCGAAAACUUUACAAUGCGGGAAACCGUGAUAAGGGGACACCGAGUGCCAGCAUCAUAUGCUGGCUGUCCAGAUGUGUAAAAUACAUCUGUUAGCAAGGGCCGGGCAAGACCGGUGCCAGCCGCCGCGGUAACACCGGCGGCCCGAGUGGUGAUCGUGAUUAUUGGGUCUAAAGGGUCCGUAGCCGGUUUGGUCAGUCCUCCGGGAAAUCUGAUAGCUCAACUAUUAGGCUUUCGGGGGAUACUGCCAGGCUUGGAACCGGGAGAGGUAAGAGGUACUACAGGGGUAGGAGUGAAAUCUUGUAAUCCCUGUGGGACCACCUGUGGCGAAGGCGUCUUACCAGAACGGGUUCGACGGUGAGGGACGAAAGCUGGGGGCACGAACCGGAUUAGAUACCCGGGUAGUCCCAGCCGUAAACGAUGCUCGCUAGGUGUCAGGCAUGGCGCGACCGUGUCUGGUGCCGCAGGGAAGCCGUGAAGCGAGCCACCUGGGAAGUACGGCCGCAAGGCUGAAACUUAAAGGAAUUGGCGGGGGAGCACAACAACGGGUGGAGCCUGCGGUUUAAUUGGAUUCAACGCCGGA
rnacentral:rRNA from 1 species